UAAAGAAGAUAAAAAUGAAGACUAUCAAAGAACAUUUUACCCAGACACGACUUUGCACAUGAAUAUUAAUAAUGUUUCUAAAUGUAUAUAUUAUAUAGCAAAUCUUAAAACGUUAUACAUUGAUAAUAGUCUCAUGAAGACUGCUGAUUUGGUUAAAUCUUUAUUAUUUUUAAAAUUUUUAAAACCAUCAACAACGAAGAAGCAAGCAAUAAAGAGACUUUUUCACAAUGCAGACUGAGAACAGGAGCAGAGUAAAACCAGUAGCAGAGUCUCAGAGAAUAAUUUCCAUUGAGAGCCACUUUGCAUCAGCAGCUCCAUGCUCCAGUGCUCUGGGAGAGUUUAUAGUCCUGAGAGUUGAACUCUGGAUGACUGACAGCUGUCCUUCAUGACAACAGAAGACACAGAAAUGGUCCUCAUCAAAAACAUGACUUUGACCUGUGUCCUCAUCUGGACUCUCCUCUGCUGCUGCUUCACAGAGUCCAGAGGUCAGGUCACAGUGACUCAGUCUGGAGCAGUGAGAUCUGCUGUGGGAGGCUCCGUCUCCAUCACAUGUAGGACCAGUCAUGAUGUUUAUGUGUGGGGCAACAACCAUGAUUUAUCCUGGUACCAACAGAGAGACGGAGAAACUCCUAAACUGCUCAUUUACUUUACUAGCACUCGAGCAUCAGGGAUCCCAGAUCGUUUUACAGGCAGAGGAUCAAACUCUGACUUCACUCUGACCAUCAGUGGAGUUCAGACUGAAGAUGCAGCAGUUUACUACUGUACGUUUGAACAUUACAUCAACAAUCAGUGGCUGUUCACACAGUGAAAAAGCGUCGUACAAAAACCUCCCUCAGUCAGACUGAACAGAAACUGAAGUGACAGCUGCAGCUGGAAGCUACUGCAGAGACUGAUACACUUCACUGACACACACACACACACACACAUAUAUAUACAGCAUGUCUGGUAUCAUCUUAUUUAUACUAUCUAAAAAAAAUCUGAUAUGCCGAUGACACCCUAUUCUACAAGACAAAAUCUUCAUCCUU